GGGCGCGUGGCGGAACUGGCAUACGCGUACGCUUCAGGAGCGUAUGGACGCGAGUCCUUGAGGGUUCAACUCCCUCCGCGCCCA
rnacentral:tRNA from 1 species